CGUAGGUAAUCUACCUUUAUGACUGGGAUAACAUUGGGAAACUGGUGCUAAUACCGGAUAUCCUUCUUUGCUGCAGGGCGAAGUAGGAAAGGUGGCCUCUUCAUGAAAGCUACCGCAUAGGGAUGAGCCUGCGUACCAUUAGCUAGUAGGUGUGGGUAACGGCCCACCUAGGCUACGAUGGUUAGCGGGUCUGAGAGGAUGAUCCGCCACACUGGAACUGGAACACGGACCAG
rnacentral:rRNA from 1 species